rfam:Zhouia amylolytica AD3 51.P278.1_15, whole genome shotgun sequence.
GGGGUCGACUGGUUUUGACAGCGAGUCGAAUUGAAAUGUAAGCAUGCCGAGCUAGAGUACUAAUGCUCGUUAAUAUCUGUGCUACACUUUUUAAAUGGCGAGAAUAACUACGCUCUUGCUGCCUAAUCUGAAUUUAUAGUAAGAUUAUCGGCCACGUCCCCGCAAGGCGGGGAGGCGAGAUGUCUCUUGAUAGCCCUUGUUGACGGCGAUCUAAUUAGAGACACCAUAAAAGUCAACAUAGAAGUUGUGUAGCUUCGUCACAAUUUCAAAUCUUAAGAAGCUAAGCGCAAGGUAGGCGGUUUUCGGUCAGCUUUGUGUCGACAAUUAAACGAAGACUAAGCAUGUAGAAAGCAUUUGAAUUGCUUGUUUGGACGGGAGUUCGAAUCUCCCCGACUCCACAA